rnacentral:tRNA from 1 species
AGGAAUUUAGGUUAAACAGACCAAGAGCCUUCAAAGCUCCAAGCAAGUCACAAUCGACUUAAUUCCUG